GUAGCGCCUGUGUGGUCGGGAGGUGAGGUGUGUGUGCAGCCCCUGUGCGGUUGGGAGGUGAGGUGUGUGUGCAGCACCUGUGCGGUCGGGAGGUGAGGUGUGUGUGCAGCCCCUGUGUGGUCAGGAGGUGAGGUGUGUGUGCAGCGCCUGUGUGGUCAGGAGGUGAGGUGUGUGUGCAGCCCCUGUGUGGUCAGGAGGUGAGGUGUGUGUGCAGCACCUGUGCGGUCGGGAGGUGAGGUGUGUGUGUAGCGCCUGUGUGGUCGGGAGGUGAGGUGUGUGUGCAGCCCCUGUGCGGUCGGGAGGUGAGGUGUGUGUGCAGCACCUGUGCGGUCGGGAGGUGAGGUGUGUGUGCAGCCCGUGUGGUCAGGAGGUGAGGUGUGUGUGCAGCACCUGUGCGGUCGGGAGGUGAGGUGUGUGUGUAGCGCCUGUGUGGUCGGGAGGUGAGGUGUGUGUGCAGCCCCUGUGUGGUCAGGAGGUGAGGUGUGUGUGCAGCGCCUGUGUGGUCAGGAGGUGAGGUGUGUGUGUAGUGCCUGUGUGGUCGGGAGGUGAGGUGUGUGUGCAGCCCCUGUGUGGUCAGGAGGUGAGGUGUGUGUGUAGCGCCUGUGUGGUCGGGAGGUGAGGUGUGUGUGCAGCCCCUGUGCGGUCGGGAGGUGAGGUGUGUGUGCAGCCCCUGUGCGGUCGGGAGGUGAGGUGUGUGUGCAGCCCCUGUGCGGUCGGGAGGUGAGGUGUGUGUGCAGCCCCUGUGCGGUCGGGAGGUGAGGUGUGUGUGCAGCCCCUGUGCGGUCGGGAGGUGAGGUGUGUGUGCAGCACCUGUGCGGUCGGGAGGUGAGGUGUGUGUGCAGCCCCUGUGCGGUCGGGAGGUGAGGUGUGUGUGCAGCACCUGUGCGGUCGGGAGGUGAGGUGUGUGUGCAGCCCCUGUGCGGUCGGGAGGUGAGGUGUGUGCAGCCCCUGUGCGGUCGGGAGGUGAGGUGUGUGUGCAGCGCCUGUGCGAUCGGGAGGUGAGGUGUGUGUGCAGCG